rnacentral:ncRNA from 2 species
CACAACGCUACGACGAAGAAGAGUAGCCCGUGAAACGAUUGAAGAGAGCUGAUGGGUGGUGCGAAUCAGUAUCGGGAAACAGGUGAAUGGGCUUUUGAGCAUCAGACCGAACUUGAAGUAGGCUCUGACGGUGACCUCCCGUUAUCGAGGACGACGAAUCAGGUGCGCCGGUUCGUUCGAGGGGACUAUUUGGAUAGUCAACGAAGGUGGUACCGCGGGGUUUUCCCGUCCUUCAU